rnacentral:lncRNA from 1 species
AUCAGUUUGCCCUAACAAUUAAAACCCUCAAAAAUCACUUUCUUCACAAAACAAAACAGCAGCAGCAGCAAUGGGGAGCUCAUCAAACGGCGGCGCAAUGUCCGGACGUGCUCCCGGAACCUUCGGUGGCGUUAAAUCGUCGCCUCCUCCAGUAGACAAAGAAGUAGACUACGCUAACUACUUCUGCACAUACUCUUUCCUCUACCACCAGAAAGACAUGCUCUCUGACCGUGUCCGUAUGGACGCUUACUACAACUCCGUCUUCGAGAACAAACACCACUUCGCCGGAAAGGUAACACUUCUCUUGAUGUCAUUGGUCCUCUCUGUAUAUAUAUGUGUAAUAAAACUUGCCUAAUUGUUUGUGUUUUGUUUUUGAAAGACGGUGUUGGAUGUUGGAACCGGGAGUGGGAUUCUAGCGAUUUGGUCAGCUCAAGCUGGUGCGAGGAAAGUUUAUGCGGUGGAAGCUACUACUAUGGCUGAUCACGCUCGUGCUCUUGUCAAAGCUAACGGUCUUGAGGAUGUUGUUGAAGUGAUUCAAGGCUCUGUUGAAGAUAUUUCUUUGCCAGAGAAAGGUAUUAUGAUUUUGAGAUGUACUUAGCAGUUUUGUUGUGACCUGUUACGAUAUUACAUUAGUAAGCUAAAAUAUUUAUGUAUUCAAUUUUAAAUGUGCAGUUGAUGUGAUUAUCUCCGAGUGGAUGGGAUACUUUCUUCUGCGUGAGUCCAUGUUUGAUUCUGUCAUAUCUGCUCGUGACCGUUGGUUAAAGCCGACCGGUGUCAUGUAAGUUGUUUCUGUUAUUGUAUCAAAUGAUUUGAUUUAGAUCUCAUGAAUAAGUUGAUAACAUUAAUUAACAAUGUGGUCAAAAGAUUUGGUUUGAUGUUUGUGUAUGUGACUUUGAAUCCAAUAGGUACCCAAGUCAUGCUCGCAUGUGGCUUGCACCCAUCAAAUCCACUUUGUCAGAACGGAAGAAGAAUGAUUUGGAUGGUGCAAUGGCUGAUUGGGAUAACUUCUCAGAUGAGAUCAAAAGCUACUACGGCGUUGAUAUGAGCGUUUUGACUAAACCUUUUGCUCUAGAGCAAGAAAAGCAUUACAUACAGGUACGUGACAUUAAAGGUCCCUAGGUGACUAAUGAACAAUUUGCUCUGUUAUUUAAAUGGAAAACUCAUAAAAAGUUUGUCUUUUUUGGGGGCAGACUGCUGUGUGGAAUGACUUGAAUCCACUUCAAGUGAUAGGCACACCUACACUUGUCAAAGAGAUGGAUUGUUUGACAGCCACUGUCAGUGAGAUAGAGGAAGUCAGAUCUAAUGUAACCUCAGUCAUCAAUGGGCACACGACUCUAUGUGGUUUUGGUGGUUGGUUUGAUGUUCAGUUCCGGGUUAGUUCAUAUACAGAUUCUCUGUGUUGCAUUAUGUUUGUGUGUAAUGUUAAAUAGACUUUAUACUUUGUUUUUUUUUCUUCUGUAAAUAGGGUAGAAAAGAAGAUCCUGCGCAGCAAGAUAUCGAGUUAACCACAGCUCCAAGUGAACGACACUGCACACACUGGGGACAACAGGUACGUUCUCCCUCAGUUCCUGCCGUAUUCUAUGAUUAAGGCUUCAAACUGAAAGACAUGUUAUGAUCUGAAUGUGGCAGGUUUUCAUUAUGUCCAAUCCUAUAAAUGUUGAGGAAGGUGAUAAUCUGAAUCUCGGUUUGGUGAUGAGCCGGUCCAAGGAAAACCACAGACUAAUGGAGGUCGAGCUUAGUUGCGAGAUAAAAGAGGCUUCUGGCAACCCUAAGGAGGCAUUCAAGAAAAUGUAUUUCAUAGAAUGAUUAUACAGAUGCAUGGAGCUUGGUGGUUCUUGCGUCCAAUGAAUGAAUCCAAAUGUAAUGUUUUACUAUUUGUUUCCAAGCAAAGUUGACAAAUGUGAUUGUUUAUAAAUAGUGGACAAAAAUAAGAGAAACCCCCAAAAUGCUUUAGAAUUUAAGAGAAUUGACAAGAAUGUUUAAGGAUAGCUAAAGUUCCCAAGCGGUGAAAAACUUCAACUCUAUAGAUUCUACUGUAUCUAAAAGCUUACAAUCAAAUCACGAUAUCUGAUAUUCAAUUAAUUUAAUCUUUUUAGCUAAUCUCUCCACUAAUGAACCAGCCAUUUAGUAUAUAUCGUAACAGAGUUUUGGGCUUUCGUAUGAAUACUUAGAUUAAAAUAUAACAAGCCGAAAAAUUCCGAAGGCCCAUUACCAAUUUCAAGGUGCUUAUCUCAUUGGUGGGAUUUAGUAGUAUCGCCCAAUUAAAUGUUUUAGAUGAAAAAAAAGAAAACUGCUAAAUUAAACAACGCUGACGUGGCAUGAUAAAAGACAACGAUGACGUGGCAAGUGGUAACCAAAACCCCUAAAGACACCAGCAGACCUUGCCUAAUUUAAAUCAGUUUGCCCUAACAAUUAAAACCCUCAAAAAUCACUUUCUUCACAAAACAAAACAGCAGCAGCAGCAAUGGGGAGCUCAUCAAACGGCGGCGCAAUGUCCGGACGUGCUCCCGGAACCUUCGGUGGCGUUAAAUCGUCGCCUCCUCCAGUAGACAAAGAAGUAGACUACGCUAACUACUUCUGCACAUACUCUUUCCUCUACCACCAGAAAGACAUGCUCUCUGACCGUGUCCGUAUGGACGCUUACUACAAC